ACACAAAUACGAAGACUAUUAUUAACAAUAAAAAAAAUUUUAGUGGUAUUCAUUCGAAUCAGAUUUCGGAUCGAAUCCCGACCUAAAUUCCAGACCAAAUCUCGAUCUGAAUCCAGACAUGAAUUAUUUUAUAUAGAAUAGCAUGCAUUAAAGAACACAGACCGAAUAAUAAUACAAAAAAUCUCCUUCCACCAAUUUAAUGAAGUAAAAAUACAGGAUCCUAUCCAUUUCAAAUCAUUACUAAC
rnacentral:lncRNA from 1 species